GGUGUCCGCACUAAGUUCGG
rnacentral:miRNA from 1 species